AAACCUUGAGAAGAAUAAGAUGGGCAAUAAGCCUGUGUGUAUUACCCCGUUGUAGUAAAGAAACAAAGUUGGCCAACGGAAACGACUUUAUAGAUGAGGUAAAGUUAUCUGUUUUUCUGGCCCGAUGCAAGGCCGCACUGCGAGGAGCGGAUGUUUGAAAAUCUAUAUUCUCCUAGACCCGUUUUGAGGAAUUAUCACCUUUUCCAAUGACUGGCAAAUAAAUUUUAACAAUGAAGGAGAUUGUCGAAUUUGAGUAGGAAGAAGCAGGUUACUUGUAAGAUAAAAAAGGCUUACCACAAAAAGUCGCAAUGAAUUCACGAUAAAUUAACUUAUCGGUAAAUAUUCAUGUGAGAAAUGACGCAUUUCUUGUUAGUGGAAAGACGGAAAUUACUCAGGCACAUAAAUGCGCAUGCAUUCAUUGUACACGAAUAUGCUUAUUAAUGUAUAUGUGACAGUUCACACUAUCAUGAGAGACGAAAAUAUAAAUAGUUUAGUCCCUAUUGAACCGAUUGCAGUACCAAACUCCUCUCGGGUAAGCUUCGCAAAGGGCUUCUUAUAACCGAGUAGAUAUCUUAUCAUCGAGCGGAGAAAGGAACGAAGGGGUAGUAAAACACCACAAACUUAUAGCAUAGGUGCAAACAUCGCUGACAAGAUGAUCGUUUGUGUGUCUAAUUAGUACCUACUGUGUGCCCCUGCCGUGAGGACGAAUCUCCUCAGACAACUUGACCACCUGGGUUACAAUGGAAAAUCAGGCUAAAGGUGAUAAAAUUGCCAUCAUUGGAGGGGGUUUGGUGGGCGCUGCAUGUGCAUGCAUGUUGUCUCGGAGAGGGUUCAAAGUUGAUGUGUUGGAGUUACGAGAAGACCUGCGAUCAUUACAGACUUCCGAGCUGUCAGUAGGUCGUUCCAUCAACCUCGCUCUUUCCGUUCGUGGUCAGGAAACAUUGCGACUUCUUGGCGUAGAAGAUGAAGUCAUUCGAAACCAUGCGAUUCCCAUGCACGCCAGAAUGAUUCAUGGUCUAAACGGCAAGACACAUUCUAUCCCGUACGGGAGAAAGGGACAAUGCAUUUACUCUGUAGGCCGAAGGUAUCUCCUGGAAUUAUUAUUAAACCGCGCCGAGCAAGAUUCAAAUGUUCGACUUCUGUUUCGGCACAAAUUGGUACGAGCUGAAAUAGAGAGGGGCAAAGUAAUCUGCAGAACGACCCGGGGGGAGGAGCAGUCUCUUGGAGGUUAUCGUGCAAUCCUUGGCUGUGACGGCGCAUUUUCCAGGAUGAGGCAAGACGUCUUACGGCGAGGUAGAUUCUACUUUGAACAAAAGUAUAUCAAACAUGGUUACGUCGAGCUUUGUAUUCCCCCAAAGGACGGCAAGUUCCAGAUGGCUGUUAACUUCUUACAUAUUUGGCCUCGCGGGGACUUCAUGAUGAUAGCUUUGCCCAAUCAAGACGGUUCCUACACUGUCACCUUAUUUAUGCCUUUUACUAAAUUCGAGGCCUUGAGUUCUCCUAAGAAGAUACUUGAAUUCUUCUACAAAUAUUUUCCUGAUUCAGUGCCACUGAUCGGAGAGGAAUCUGUUGUGUCUACUCUAACGUCCGUCCCUGCUGGAUCUCUCGUAUCGAUUAAAUGUUCACCUUACCACGUCAAAGGACGGGCAUUGCUGUUGGGCGACGCUGCUCACGCAAUGGUCCCUUUCUACGGACAAGGAAUGAACUCAGAAAGAAAUCCAUGGAACCGAAAUGGGGCGGACAGGAACAGAAGAAAGCUACGCCGGAACCGGGAUCCAGAUAAGCACCAUAUAUUUUAUUCCGUGCCACCAUCGAAACGUUUCUUUGAGAAGGUGAGCCGAAAUUUUAUGGAUCCGUUCAGACAUCGUGAGCAACAAAGCUUUUUAUUAAUAUUAGUCGACUAUUAUAUCUGCUUCAGCCACCUCGUGCCAAUAUUUGCUGCAGUGGCUCCGACGCUAGUGCUCUUUCAAAGAUUUGGGCAUUAUAAUACAAUAUACACAGCCUGACCUUUUUCGCAUCAUGGGCAAUGACAAAUUAUAUUACACGAAGUUACAAUAGUUGAAACGAAAAAUGCGUUAAUCAAAUAUCAUUAACUUAAUAUAUCAGUACUAUGAAGAAAAAAGCGAUUUUAUUACUGGAAGUAAAUGCGCGACGUGAGGUAUUUUAGGCAUGUGGUACCAGACGUGAAGUCAGUAACGAGAACAUUUACUGGAUAAAAAGGAAAACAUUUUGCUGAGACUGGAUGAAAACAGAAGGAGAAGACACAGAAACAGAUAUUUCUCUUAUUGGAGAAUGAAAAAGUAUUACUCUUUUAAGAUUGCCUCAGGUGGUGUCUCAAGAUAGGAGGCUCAAUACAAGGAAUCCGGAAGAACUAAGCGGAAGAAGAAAUUAUUAUAAGGACACUGGAGGAUUAAAGUAUCUCUGCGUCUAUAUUCAAAUCUACGCAUUUUGUGCAUGCCUUUAGCUGGUAAACGAAUGGAAAUCUAGCUAUGAGCCUUGUUGUUUAAGCACACUCGAAAGCGAUAUCGUUAAAUCGAAAACACGGAUUAGCGAAACCAUUUUGGUAAUGUGUAACUAACGCAAAAAAUAAUUUUAACACAAAGCUUACAAUUAAAGUUUAGAUGACGAAUUACUUGCGAUUAUUUAAAAUCAAUGAGCGGUUAGGAGUUUAGGACAGUUACGUAGAAAAUCCCUUUAGCCGAUACAUUAAAACUGACUAUAUAGGUCAUCAGAUCAAUCAAAUCAUGGACGAGGGCAAUUCUGGCGAACACAUAUAGUAGAAGCUGUUAAUGUAUAAUCAGCGUGUAAAUGGUAUACUUUAAUGGGUAAUGGAAAACAAGAACUUGACUGAAAAGACUGUUGAUGCUUGCUGAUGUCAUCUUUUAGGGAUUUGAAGAUGUGCUGAUCCUCGAUGGUCUACUGACAACCUAUCGUGCCCAAGAACCAUCCCAGACGGAUUUUGAGAAGGU